rnacentral:rRNA from 1 species
GUUAUAUGGUCAAGCGAAUAAGCGCACACGGUGGAUGCCUUGGCGGUCAGAGGCGAUGAAGGACGUGGCAGCCUGCGAAAAGUAUCGGGGAGCUGGCAACAAGCUUUGAUCCGGUAAUGUCCGAAUGGGGAAACCCACCCGCUUGCGGGUAUCCUGCAGUGAAUACAUAGCUGCUGGAAGCGAACCUGGUGAACUGAAAUAUCUAAGUAACCAGAGGAAAAGAAAUCAACCGAGAUUCCGUAAGUAGCGACGAGCGAACGCGGACUAGCCCUUAAGCUGAUUUGGUUCUAGGAAAACGCUCUGGAAAGAGCGGCCAUAGAAGGUGAUAGCCCUGUAUCUGAAAGGGCCAUUCCAGUGAAGACGAGUAGGGCGGGGCACGUGAAACCCUGUCUGAACAUGGGGGGACCAUCCUCCAAGGCUAAAUACUACUGACCGACCGAUAGUGAACCAGUACCGUGAGGGAAAGGCGAAAAGAACCCCGGAGAGGGGAGUGAAAUAGAACCUGAAACCGUGUGCGUACAAGCAGUAGGAGCUCCGCAAGGAGUGACUGCGUACCUUUUGUAUAAUGGGUCAGCGACUUACUGUUCGUGGCAAGCUUAACCGUAUAGGGGAGGCGAAGGGAAACCGAGUCUGAUAAGGGCGCAUAGUCGCGGGCAGUAGACCCGAAACCGGGUGAUCUAGUCAUGCCCAGGGUGAAGGUGCGGUAACACGCACUGGAGGCCCGAACCCACUCCCGUUGCAAAGGUAGGGGAUGAGGUGUGAUUAGGAGUGAAAAGCUAAUCGAACCCGGAGAUAGCUGGUUCUCCUCGAAAGCUAUUUAGGUAGCGCCUCAUAUGUAUCCUCUCGGGGGUAGAGCACUGUUAUGGCUAGGGGGUCAUCGCGACUUACCAAACCAUUGCAAACUCCGAAUACCGAGACGGACUGUAUGGGAGACACACGGCGGGUGCUAACGUCCGUCGUGAAAAGGGAAACAACCCAGACCCACAGCUAAGGUCCCAAAUUUUGUGCUAAGUGGAAAACCAUGUGGAAAGGCACAGACAGCCAGGAGGUUGGCUUAGAAGCAGCCACCCUUUAAAGAAAGCGUAAUAGCUCACUGGUCGAGUCGGUCUGCGGGGAAGAUUUAACGGGGCUAAGCACAGAACCGAAGCUUGGGGUGCAUAACUUUGUUAUGCGCGGUAGAGGAGCGUUCCGUAAGCCGUUGAAGGUGGAUUGAGAAGUCUGCUGGAGGUAUCGGAAGUGCGAAUGCUGACAUGAGUAACGAUAAUGCGGGUGAAAAACCCGCACGCCGAAAGCCCAAGGUUUCCUUGCGCAACGUUAAUCGGCGCAGGGUGAGUCGGCCCCUAAGGCGAGGACGAAAGUCGUAGUCGAUGGGAAGCAGGUUAAUAUUCCUGCACCUCGCGUAAGUGCGAUGGAGGGACGGAGAAGGUUAGGUGUACCAGGCGUUGGUUGUCCUGGGGAAAGGCGGUAGGUUUGGAUCUUUGGCAAAUCCGGGAUCCUCUAAGACCGAGCACCGAGACGAGCCUUUAUGGCAAAGUCACUGAUACCACGCUUCCAGGAAAAGCUCCUAAGCUUCAGCUUACGCAGACCGUACCGUAAACCGACACAGGUGGGUAGGAUGAGAAUUCUCAGGCGCUUGAGAGAACUCGGGUGAAGGAACUAGGCAACAUGGCACCGUAACUUCGGGAGAAGGUGCACCCUUUUUGGUGGCUCGUGCGAGCUAUAGCUGAAGAGGGUCGCAGUAACCAGGCCGCUGCGACUGUUUAUCAAAAACACAGCACUCUGCAAACACGAAAGUGGACGUAUAGGGUGUGACGCCUGCCCGGUGCUGGAAGGUUAAUUGAUGGGGUCAGCCGCAAGGCGAAGCUCUUGAUCGAAGCCCC